CCUACGGGAGGCAGCAGUGGGGAAUAUUGGACAAUGGGCGCAAGCCUGAUCCAGCCAUGCCGCGUGAGUGAUGAAGGCCUUAGGGUUGUAAAGCUCUUUUAGCGGGGACGAUAAUGACGGUACCCGCAGAAAAAGCCCCGGCCAACUUCGUGCCAGCAGCCGCGGUAAUACGAAGGGGGCUAGCGUUGCUCGGA
rnacentral:rRNA from 1 species